rnacentral:rRNA from 1 species
CAACUCAGGACUGCAAGGCAAAUCACAAUCCAUCAGACUGCAACAACCCUCAUAGCAGAUGCAGCUAGCAAAGAUGAGAUCCAGGCGAGGGUUCCACAUCUAAAGAAGUAGCUCUUUGAAACUAAUUCCAUAUAUGAUUAUGAGUAGUUGGUUGAGAGAGUUGCAAAACUUUCUGGUGGUGUGGCCAUCAUCAAGGUUGGAGCGACAACCGAGCCAGAGCUUGAGGACCGGAAAAUGCAGAUCGAGGACGCGUAGAAUUCCACCUUUGCGGCCAUCCAGGAGGGCAUUGUUCUCGAUAGUGGCUUGACUUAUGUGCAUGUGUCUACCUAUGUCCGUGUGAUCAAAUAAAGAAUCAAAGACCAUGAUGGUCGCCUUGAUGCCGACAUCAUUCUCAAGGUAACUUGCUUAGAUAUAAAUCCGUUAAAUGGGUUGAACUACAUUGAUCUCUUUCAUGGCAACCAGUUGGUAGAAAUUGUAUUUACCAGAGAACUGACCUGA